UCCGGUGGCCUGGUGGUUAGAGCGUCCGCCUCAGAUGCGGAAGAUCUCUGGUUCGAACAUCGGUCUAGUCAU